rnacentral:rRNA from 1 species
CGCCGCGUGCGGGAUGAAGGCCCUAGGCUUGUAAACCGCUUUCAGCAGGGAAGAAAUUGACGGUACCUGCAGAAGAAGGUGCGGCCAACUACGUGCCAGCAGCCGCGGUGACACGUAGGCACCAAGCGUUGUCCGGAUUUAUUGGGCGUAAAGAGCUCGUAGGCGGUUCAGUUAGUCGGGUGUUAAAACUCUGGGCUCAACCCAGAGACGCCACUCGAUACUGCUGUGACUAGAGUGCGGUAGGGGAGCGGGGAAUUCCUGGUGUAGCGGUGAAAUGCGCAGAUAUCAGGAGGAACACCAGUGGCGAAGGCGCCGCUCUGGGCCGCAACUGACGCUGAGGAGCGAAAGCGUGGGUAGCAAACAGGAUUAGAUACCCUGGUAGUCCACGCCGUAAACGUUGGGCACUAGGUGUGGGUCUCAACCAACGAGAUCCGCGCCGUCGCUAACGCAUUAAGUGCCCCGCCUGGGGAGUACGGCCGCAAGGCUAAAACUCAAAGGAAUUGACGGGGGCCCGCACAAGCAGCGGAGCGUGUUGCUUAAUUCGAUGCAACGCGAAGAACCUUACCUGGGUUUUGACAUGUACCGAAAAGCUCUAGAGAUAGGGUGUCCUUCGGGGCGGUACACAGGUGGU